GGUAGUGUGGCCGAGAGGUCUAAGGCGCUGGAUUUAAGCUCUAGUCUCUCUGGGGGCAUGGGUUUAAAUCCCACUGCUGCCA
rnacentral:tRNA from 1 species